AAUAGAUACCCCAGGUAGUCCACGCCGUAAACGAUGAGUGCUAAGUGUUAGAGGGUUUCCGCCCUUUAGUGCUGCAGCUAACGCAUUAAGCACUCCGCCUGGGGAGUACGGUCGCAAGACUGAAACUCAAAGGAAUUGACGGGGGCCCGCACAAGCGGUGGAGCAUGUGGUUUAAUUCGAAGCAACGCGAAGAACCUUACCAGGUCUUGACAUCCUCUGACAACUCUAGAGAUAGAGCGUUCCCCUUCGGGGGACAGAGUGACAGGUGGUGCAUGGUUGUCGUCAGCUCGUGUCGUGAGAUGUUGGGUUAAGUCCCGCAACGAGCGCAACCCUUGAUCUUAGUUGCCAGCAUUUAGUUGGGCACUCUAAGGUGACUGCCGGUGACAAACCGGAGGAAGGUGGGGAUGACGUCAAAUCAUCAUGCCCCUUAUGACCUGGGCUACACACGUGCUACAAUGGAUGGUACAAAGGGCUGCAAGACCGCGAGGUCAAGCCAAUCCCAUAAAACCAUUCUCAGUUCGGAUUGU
rnacentral:rRNA from 1 species